rnacentral:rRNA from 1 species
GAUGAACGCUGGCGGCGUGCCUAAUACAUGCAAGUCGAGCGAACAGACGAGGAGCUUGCUCCUCUGACGUUAGCGGCGGACGGGUGAGUAACACGUGGAUAACCUACCUAUAAGACUGGGAUAACUUCGGGAAACCGGAGCUAAUACCGGAUAAUAUAUUGAACCGCAUGGUUCAAUAGUGAAAGACGGUUUUGCUUUCACUUAUAGAUGGAUCCGCGCCGUAUUAGCUAGUUGGUAAGGUAACGGCUUACCAAGGCAACGAUGCGUAGCCGACCUGAGAGGGUGAUCGGCCACAUUGGAACUGAGACACGGCCCAGACUCCUACGGGAGGCAGCAGUAGGGAAUCUUCCGCAAUGGGCGAAAGCCUGACGGAGCAACGCCGCGUGAGUGAUGAAGGUCUUCGGAUCGUAAAACUCUGUUAUUAGGGAAGAACAAAUGUGUAAGUAACUAUGCACGUCUUGACGGUACCUAAUCAGAAAGCCAAGGCUAACUACGUG